CAAUUGCUUUGCAACACUUCCGGUUGUCAACUCUCCUCGCGUGCAAUCUCAAUGCAUUAACCUGUUUUUAUCGCAUGCACUCUUAUUGCGUAGUUUAAAACAGGAUUGGGGUCUCACAAGAGCUUACAUCAACAUAACAACCAACAUCAAUGUUAGUGGCUUGGUGGCUCGACUUGAUAGUUCGACUUGGCAACAUAGUUCAGUCAGUUCAUGUAGUUGGCUUUGGUUCGUCGUUCUGAAUUUAGUUGCGGUUCACCUGACCUAGUUAAGUCUGUUUUAACGGAACAAUGUCCUUUGACCCCUGCUCAUACUGCAUCUCAAGUUGUUAUGAAUGCUUAUGGCCGCUAGACAAAGGGCAGUGACAAAGUUGUUAUGGAUGCUUUCCCUUUCACGUUGCUCCAAGCCCCCUCUUCGCCAUGGAACGCCGUUGAAACCCCAACGUCGUAAAAACCCAACGCCUUCCAAACGUUGUCGAAAUCGCAACUCUUCGGAAUGCCCUCGGAACCACAACGCCGCUCACUGAUUGUGACCACAUCCUCGAAACUGACCACGUCGAAACCCAACACCGCUCACUCACUUUGACGUCGGUAAGCAUCUCCAUUGUUCCCAAACACCGCUCUCUACUCCAGAUCCGCCCUCAAGCUUGUGAGAGGAAUGCCCACAAAGUUGGACUUGUCUACCACCUACACCACAGCGAACUUCAGCUUGGAAUACUGCGGCCAGAGACUCUGGAAGUGCUCCCUUUUGCUCAACUUCAAAGAUAAGGUAAUACAAAAGGCCUAUUGAUACACGUUUACUUGCACUCAUCUUUACAAAUUCCCAAUUUGUACCCUAAUAUUUCAUUAUACAACAUUAUUAAUCAUUUAAAUUAUUCGAUUUUAAAAUGUUUUUAAUUUAGUAGUUCGAAAAUAAAAUAAUUAUAAAACAUUCGUA